CACUAUCCCUACAUGUUGUCAAGGAAGACUAGUCACCUAGCUCAUGACUGGAUUCAACUGGACGGUAGGUCACCAACAAGUGUAAAUUGUGAGACCUGGUGACAAAGAGCCAAAUGUAGGCCCUCAAAUUACCAGAGUCACAAUGGCAUAAAUGAGUUUCGGCAUGAAUGUAGAAUCUUCCAGUGAGAAGUAGCUUGCAGGGCUGGGACUUUAGACCUGAAGCAAGAUAUUGAUGCCAUACAAAGGAGUCAAGAAUUAGAGACUCUGAAGUUUAUUCAGCCUGGAAGAGGAAAACGGCCAUGUUAUAUACUGAUGUCUAGGAGCAGUACGAGUCUAUUUCAUAAUUCCUCACCUUGCACAUAUCCUGGUCCCUGAUUUGAAUCCCAAUAAACCCAGAGAGCAUGUUCAAAGUUAAAAUGCUCAUUUUCCUCUAGCCAUCAACAGCUCUUCUCUAUCCAGCUGCAGACACCUCUUUCCAUGCAGUUAUGAUUUAAUAAAUUUUUUAAAAUUAAAAAUAAUCUUUUCCAUUUUCCC